rnacentral:tRNA from 1 species
GUAGUGUAAUGGUUAAGUACUUGGCUGCUAACCGAAAGGUUGGUGGUUCAAAUCCACCC